CCUACGGGGGGCAGCAGUGGGGAAUAUUGGGCAAUGGGCGCAAGCCUGACCCAGCAACGCCGCGUGAAGGAAGAAGGCUUUCGGGUUGUAAACUUCUUUUAUCAGGGACGAAGCAAGUGACGGUACCUGAGGAAGAAGCCACGGCUAACUACGUGCCAGCAGCCGCGGUAAUACGUAGGCGGCAAGCGUUAUCCGGAUUUACUGGGUGUAAAGGGGGAGUAGGCGGGCCUGCAAGUCAGAUGUGAAAACCAGGGGCUCAACCUAUGGACUGCAUUUGAAACUGUAGUGCUUGAGUACUGGAGAGGCAGGCGGAAUUCCUAGUGUAGCGGUGAAAUGCGUAGAUAUUAGGAGGAACACCAGUGGCGAAGGCGGUCUGCUGGACAGCAACUGACGCUGAGGCGCGAAAGCGUGGGGAGCAAACAGGAUUAGAUACCCUGGUAGUC
rnacentral:rRNA from 1 species